GCAGGCCACCCCCGGGGCGUCUUGAGAUGACAAGCGAUGGAAGCAUCCCUUAGAAGACAGCCUCGCCGGGGAGCUGCGGGAGACAGGCGGCACAAGCUGCACCCAGGAGCCGAGGGCCCUGGGACAGCAGAGCAGGCCAGGUGGUUGUAAGGGCAAAUUCCUCUGGAGGGAGGGAAGGAACAGGAGGAAGAGCCCCAGUCCAUACAGGAUGCGGAGGAUGGUCCCAAUCACCCAGGAAGCAGAACUGGAGCUCAGCCAGGCAGGUAAAGUGUUGAGAGCCACCAUGUGAUAGUCACUGCAAGAG
rnacentral:lncRNA from 1 species